rnacentral:tRNA from 1 species
GGGCAAGUGCUGGAACAGGUAUACAGGUACGUCUCAAAAACGUAUGGGCUAAUCGCCCAUGAGGGUUCGAUUCCCUCCUUGCCCA